rnacentral:misc_RNA from 1 species
AUUUGCUCUUUCAAUUUCUUGUUACUUGGCAGUGCAUUUUAAAGGGUGUGAAUUUUUUUUUUCAUUUGGUUGCCAACAACAGUAGGGGAUUUCCUAUCCAUUAACCAGUUGCUUAUUCUAACGAUUACAAACAUAAAGCAAGUAUUUCGCUCAGGUGCUGCCGGAUGGAAGGGUCUCGACUCUUGAGGGUAUUGGGUGCUUCUUGAUCUAGUAGAAUCUAUAUCUGAGCAAAUGAAUUA